GACGAACGCUGGCGGCGUGCUUAACACAUGCAAGUCGAACGGAAAGGCCCUGCUUUUGUGGGGUGCUCGAGUGGCGAACGGGUGAGUAACACGUGAGUAACCUGCCCUUGACUUUGGGAUAACUUCAGGAAACUGGGGCUAAUACCGGAUAGGAGCUCCUGCUGCAUGGUGGGGGUUGGAAAGUUUCGGCGGUUGGGGAUGGACUCGCGGCUUAUCAGCUUGUUGGUGGGGUAGUGGCUUACCAAGGCUUUGACGGGUAGCCGGCCUGAGAGGGUGACCGGGCACCUGGGUCCUGAGAUACGCACCAGUGUCCAACGGGGGGCAGCAGUGGGAAGCAUUACACAGUGGGCCGAAGCCUGAUGCAGAGGCGCCGCGUGCGUGAUGACGGCUUUCUGGUUGUGAAAAGCUUUAGCCUAUGACGCAGCGUUAGUGACGGUAAUCAGUAAAGAAGCACCGGCUAACUACGUG
rnacentral:rRNA from 1 species